GUCUGCCAAAUAAAUUAAUUAAUUUCAACUCAUUUAAGCAGCAGUCACCAUUACAAAGAAAAAUACUUCACAAAGAGAAACUUAAUAUACAAAACAAAAGAAAAAACAAUCGAUACAUAACAUGAAUUUAAAACAGCCAUAUGCUGACUAUUUAAACAACUUAUGGCCGCAGCUUGAGAAAACGGGAUCAUGGGAUAAAUCUGAACUGAGAUCAUGCAAGAAAUUGGGUAGAAACUUUCGGUGCAUUGAAACGGGCAAAUUUAUGCGCAAAUGUUGCAAUGUUGAGUGCUCCGUGGCCAAAAAAUGCACAAGGAAAUGUCUCGAAGUUAAAUGGAAAAAGGAAAAGGAAAGUGUGACGAUCAAGAACUCAACAACUGUGGAAUCAAUAAUACAGCUCAUUCUGAAAGGCAUUGAACCAGAUACCGUUGUUCUAGUGGCAGAUCGUCAAUACUCCUGCCACGCCUUUGUGCUGACUAUGAACUCCGCUUACUUUAGAAAGCUGAUUGGACACACUUCGAUCGAUCUACGCCAGACACAAGUGACAGCAAAUGCCUUUGACUUUAUAUACGAAUGGAUGUUAUUGAGAGCUAAGGAAAUUCCAAGAAGAGAGCUAUUAGACAUUUUAAGAUCCGUUUACUUUCUGGAAAUUCCAUUAUUAAUUCAUGCUUGUCUUGAUGCACUCAAUGGAAAUGAAUUCAGAGAGAUCGAUGCUUUUUUAUAUUAUCUAUAGCCUGCGAAAUUCCACUGAUCUCUUGCAUAUCAGCCAGGCUAUGACUCCUCGCAUCUCGAAAUCCGCGCUAACAGUCAUGUGCAGUCAGCAAUUUCUGCAACUUACGAUUGAUCAGAUGUGUUUUAUACUCCAAUCAAAUUUUCUUACUGUUAAUACUGAAUGCGAGCUUUGAUUCUAGAACAGAUUCUUUUUUUGCGCUCUCCACUGGCUGGACGUAGACUGGCCAAGUCGAAGCUCCCAUUUGCCAGAUGUUUUCAAGUGCAUUCGCUUUACAUUCUUGUCUCCCAAGUUGCUCAGUCAACUCACAAAUUCUGGCUAUGCGAAUAUUGGGCGAUUUCGCAGAGUGCUCGCUGCUUUUUUCAAGUGGCCGCCAUCGAAACAGCUAAUUGAGGAUGGCAUCUUCUACAGCUCCAUCGUCAUCUCUUUGAGCUGCAAUCGCAGUUCGUUGGAACAGUUUGAAGACGUUAGAAAGGAGCUAUUAAUACCUCGUCGCUGGAUGCAAGACGUUCGUUGCAGCUACCAUCGUCCAGUGACUGGGCAAUGUCCCAAUAUGUAUUACAUUACCUAUAGCGAAUUUGUACAAUAUUCGAGACAGCUCCGAGAAACUAUGGAUAAUUACGAAGUGUUUAUUGAUCAUCCCGAGGAGAUAAAAGGAAAGCCCAAAGACCCGGCUCUAUCUGAUUCGAUGCAAUGCGAACCUUCAACUUCUAAUUACAUAAUAUGCGAUCAGCUUUUUUGUGGUGCAUCCGCAGAAAAUGAACAAAAAUUUAUUUCUUUGAGCAAAUAUUUUACGCCAUCGAAGUUUUGGGAUCUAAUGUUUUAAAUAAUUAUGCAUGACUUCACCUUA